GAUGAACGCUGGCGGCGUGCCUAAUACAUGCAAGUCGAGCGAACAGACGAGGAGUUUGCUCCUUUGACGUUAUCGGAGGACGGGUGAGUAACACGUGUGUCACCUCUCUAUAAGACUGGGAUCACUUCGGGAAACCGGAGCUAACACCGGAUAAUAUUUCGAACCGCAUGAUUCGAUAGUGAAAGAUGGUUUUGCUAUCACCUGUAGAUGGUCCUGUGCAGUAUUUGCUAGUUGGUAAGGUAACGGAUUACCAAGGCAACGAUACGUAGCCGACCUGGGAGGGGGAUCGGCCACACGGGAACUGAGACACGGUCCAGACUCCUCCGGGAGGCGGCAGAAGGGAAUCUUGCGCAAUGGGCGAAAGCCUGACGGAGCAACGCCGCGUGGGUGAUGAAGGUCUUCGGAUCGUAAAACUCUUUUAUUAGGGAAGAACAAACGUGUAAGUGACUGUUCACGUCUUGACGGUACCUAAUCAGAAAGCCACGGCUAACUACGUG
rnacentral:rRNA from 1 species